rnacentral:tRNA from 1 species
GGCCGGUUAGCUCAGUCAGUUGAGCGUGGCGCUAACAACGCUGAAGUCAUGGAUUCGAUUCCCGUCCAGUCCC